GACGAACGCUGGCGGCGCGCCUAACACAUGCAAGUCGAACGGAGCUGAGAGAAGCUUGCUUUUCUUAGCUUAGUGGCGAACGGGUGAGUAACGCGUGAGUAACCUGCCCUGGAGUGGGGGACAACAGUUGGAAACGACUGCUAAUACCGCAUAAGCCCACGAUCCGGCAUCGGAUUGAGGGAAAAGGAUUUAUUCGCUUCAGGAUGGACUCGCGUCCAAUUAGCUAGUUGGUGAGGUAACGGCCCACCAAGGCGACGAUUGGUAGCCGGACUGAGAGGUUGAACGGCCACAUUGGGACUGAGACACGGCCCAGACUCCUACGGGAGGCAGCAGUGGGGGAUAUUGCACAAUGGGGGAAACCCUGAUGCAGCGACGCCGCGUGGAGGAAGAAGGUUUCCGGAUUGUAAACUCCUGUCGUUAGGGACGAUAAUGACGGUACCUAACAAGAAAGCACCGGCUAACUACGUG
rnacentral:rRNA from 1 species